rnacentral:rRNA from 1 species
AUGGUGCAGUUGGUCACCUGGAUGUCCUCCACGUCCUUCUCGUCCUUGUACCGCCCCAGGCUGCCCACGCUGAUCCCGUGGCCGGGGCCGCACCGGGAGCCGUGGAUCUUGACGUGCUUGGUGCCGGGCCCGAUGGAGAUGCAGUCGUCGCCGACGCCGAUGUUGGUCGCCUUGAUGGUCACGUCCUCCGAGUCGCCCAUGUGGAUGCCGUCCGUGUUGGGGCUGUUCCCGGGCGCCGUGAUCUCCACGUUCUCCACCAGCACGUUCUUGCAGUUGAAGAGGUUGAGGUGGAAGAACUUUGCGUUCUUGAGCGUGAUGCCGCGGAUCGUCGCGUUGUUCACGUAG